rnacentral:tRNA from 1 species
UGAGGAGCUGCGGCAAAAGGCACAGGAAAUGACUGCCCGCAUACGUCGGGAAGUGGAAGCUUA